rnacentral:pre_miRNA from 1 species
AUAUACAUCACCUAAAAAUCUUGCUAAAAAGCAGAUUCUAUUUCAGUGGUGCAGGGUGUGGCCUGAGAUUCUGCAUUCCUUACAAGCUCCUAAGUGAUGUAUGU